rnacentral:lncRNA from 1 species
GCGUAACAGAGUGAACAGCAUCAGAGUGGGUGUUCAAGAAUAGUCUCUGUAGAGUGACCGCAUGAGGAUAAGAAGUCAGCAAGAGGACAAGGAGCCAGCAAGAGGAGAUGCUUGGGAGGCCAGCCUUGGAAGGACUGAAGACAGAAGAGCUGCAGGCAGAGUUUGCCUUUUACUUGCCACAGUGGACGCAUGCUUGUGGUGAAAGGGCUCCAGGACCGCUUGGCUGGGAUGGUAACGCAGCGCACAGUGGCGGAGAGCUCAGAGACUAGGCCUGUCUGGAGGGUCCUGUAUGUGAGCUGAUCAUCCACCUCACAGCAGCCUUUCAGCUAUCACCCUCAUUUUACAGGUGUUGCUGUGCAGCCCAGGCUGCCCUCCGACUCACAGAGACCCUCCUGCCUCAGCCCCUCCCGGAGUGCUGGGAUUGCAGAGGCCCUGGAUGAACCUGUCUGUGCUGAUGUCUAAACUGGCUCCUCCCAAGUGCUCGCCAUGGGUCUGACUGUCCUGCUCUGAUCCAGGAGCUUCUCACCAGACCUUCUGCAGAGGAGAAUGGAGCCAUAAAGGCAGCCAGAAAGGGGUCUCCCUUCUUCUUUCUCUGGGGUCUGUGCGACUUUUCAGUAGAACCUGGAUGAUCUCCCUUAAGGGAACAUAAUGCCAUUAGAUUCAGAGGUGCAAUUGGACAUAAAAAAGUUACCUUUCCAAAGGAAAUCCAAUUACUUCCCACUGGCAAUCUGUACUGCACUCUGCAUGAAGUGCUGUGAAACUGUGUAACAGAAACAUGUGCGAUGCCUUUGUGAAGGUGAGCAGACCUGGAGAAGGGACUCAGCAGUCUGCUGAUGAGUCCAGUUGCUUAGUAUCACUGGAGCCCGACUACUGCUAGCUUACAAAUGUUUUGGAAGAUGUCGAAUCACCCCGCUGCAGACAGGCAGGUCUGCCCAUGCCCUACCAAGGUCCUGAGUCUCACAGAACAUGCCGAAUCAGCCCGCUGCAGACAGGCAGGUCUGCCCACGCCCUACCGAGGUCCCCAGGAGCGUGGAAUACACCGAAACAGCCCGCUGCACCCAGGAAGUUCUGUGCACGUCCUACCGAGGUCCUGAGUCCCGCAGAAGACACCGAAUCACCCCGCUACAGACCGGCAGCCACCUGGUUCCACACUACAAAGACGCAGAAGAAACCAGACCACCAGACCAAGGUACUGAGUCCCGCUGCUCCCGGCCCAGAGGUAGGAGCUUCUGAGCCGUCGUCCCACUUCUCCUGGUCCAGAGGAAGGGGCUUCCCGGUCACAAUCCCUCCCGCUGCUCCCAACCCAGAGGAAAGGGCUUUUGGGCCACCUUCUGUCCUGCUGCUCCUGGCCCAGAGGAAGGGGCUUCCAGGCCACCAUCCCUCCCACUGCUCCCGGCCCAGAGGGAGGGGCUUCUGAGCCACCAUCCCAAUGCUCCUGGUCCAGAGGAAGGGGUUUCCCAGCCACCAUCCCUCUGGCUGCUCCCAGCCCACAGGAAAGGGCUUUUGGGUCACCAUCCCUACUGCUGCUCCUGGCCCCUGUCCCACCUCACCCAGCUCAGAGGAGGUAAUCCAUGCAGGCACUAACAGCGCCCCCCCCGGCCCAGUCGAAAUGAGAAAACAUGUAAAUAAGUCUCAAAACCAGACAUCCAGAUCACCUACAGCAACCCCAAAGGGAAAUGAGAUGGAACACUCUGAUACUCAACCACCUGGACCCAGUGAACUGGCAACAAAAGGGGAUCUGGAAAAAAUGAAAUCAGAAAUAAUUUCUCAGAUAACAGGAGAAAUUGUGCCCCUAGUGCAAGACAUGAUUAAUAAAUCUAGAGAGGAGCUCAGGAACAUGAUGGAAUCCCAACAUAAGAAGCAAAUGGAAUCCAUAAAACAGAUGCAAAUAGAUUUCCAGGACAUGAAAAACUCCAUUGAAAGUCUACACAGCAGAAUGAGCCAAUGUGAGGAUAGAAUUUCAGAUAUAGAAGAUAAGAUUGCAAUUAGUGACCAGGAAAAGAAAAAUUGCUUCAAAAUUAUAAGGGAACAUGAGAAAUCAAUCCAGCAGCUGCUAGGUGAUGCAAAGAAGAAUAACAUAAGACUGAUUGGAGUCAAUGAAGAAAAUGGAGAGAGUGCAGAUGACAUAAAAAAAAACUCUUCACAGAAAUAAUGGCAGAAAACUUCCCAAGCAGGGGAAAAGAGCUUGACAUACACAUAAGUGAGGCAUAUAGGACCCCAAAGAGCCUUGAUCAAAAAAAAAAUCUACACAUAGGCAUAUAAUUGUUAAGAUUCCAGAAACACAACAGAAGAACAAAGUUCUCCAAGCAGUCAGAGCAAAGAAACAAAUCACAUACAAAGGAAAGCCCAUCAGAAUCACAGCAGACUUCUCAACACAAACCAUCAAGGCAAGAAGAGCUUGGAG